rnacentral:lncRNA from 1 species
CGACGACGACGACAACGACGACGACUACGACGAUGAAGCUGACGUAUACGUAUCCCACUCCGUAUUUCUCACACAGCCGGUGAACGAAGAGGUGUUAGUCACUUCAAGGACGUUGCUGUAAUUGGGAUAGGUCGGAUAGACGCGUUGGCUGGGGAGGAGGGAGAGGGUAGGUACAUAGAAGAAGAAAGAGAGAAAGAAAGAAAGAAAGAAAAA